GACGAACGCUGGCGGCGUGCCUAAUACAUGCAAGUCGAACGCAGUGGGGACGGGUGAGUAACACGUGGGUAACCUCCCAUCAGAGGGGAUAACCCUUGGAAACAGGUGCUAAACCGAUACUGAUGGAUGGACCCGCGGUGCAUGAGCUAGUUGGUGAGGUAACGGCUGACCAAGGCCACGAUGCAUAGCCGACCUGAGAGGUUGAUCGGCGACAAGGGGACGGAGACACGGUCCAGACUCCUACGGGAGGCAGCAGUGGGGAAUAUUGGACAAUGGGCGAAAGCCUGAUACAGCCAUGCCGCGUGUGUGAAGAAGGUCUUCGGAUUGUAAAGCACUUUAAGUUGGGAGGCGUUACCAACAGAAUAAGCACCGGCUAACUUCGUGCCAGCAGCCGCGGUAAUUC
rnacentral:rRNA from 1 species